AAAAUUUUUAGGUGCUGAGGACAAAGAGAAGACACACAGAAGGACUGAGACAGAGGGUCUGAACUGGAAGGACAGAGACUGAUGGACAGAGCAGGAGAGGGGAUGACCUGAAAAGACCAGUUUGAGAUAAGGAGAACAAAGAUGUUGAUGGCUCCAAGCUUCUCCCUAGCCUGUCAAGCAAAAAGCAUAAGGACAAAAUGGAAAAGGCUCCAGCAAGUAAUCCUCUACUUUAUCUCCUGCUGUUUCAGAAUGAGGUGGAAACUUUCUCCAGUGCCCAUGUGUUGAAGACUCUUCCCCAUCUUUUCUUCUAUUAGUGUAGUGCCCACCUCGACCAGCAAGGAAGACACAUCACCGUUGGAUUCUUCUCAACAGCCUUUAUUUCAGGAAAACCUCAUUCUUGAUGAGGGGGGCCCCGAGGGAAAAAAGGCACUCCCCCUAAAUACAAGAAAGGCUGUGGUUGUAAA